AAGUGCGAUAUUUAAUGCGAUUUGCAUGAAUCUGUGAGUCAUCGAGUCUUUGAACGCAACUUGCGCCAGCAAUGGCAUGUCUGUUUGAGUGCGGGAUAAAAAAUGCAGCGAUGCGAAUUGCCCAUGUGGUUGGUAGCUUGGGUCAAAAGUAGGAAGUUUUACACUGGGAGGCUGGUUCGGCCUUGAAGCUAGAGACGCAAGUCUUGUUCAAGUCCAAACCAUCCACCUACCUCCACACGCCUCAAAUCAGUCAAGAUCACCCGCUGAACUUAA
rnacentral:misc_RNA from 1 species